CACCACAAGGACUGGAGAAGGGUUUGUAUGGAUUUUAAUCCCUAUUGCUGGUGCACUUCACUUGGGCUUGGAAACUUUUUUCCCAUUUUCGUAGUAAUGAUCCAUAAAUACAUUAAAGUGAAUAGCCAUGAGAGAAGCAGUACCUUAUAAUGGUUCCUUGUUCAAAGCACUCAAUAUUCCUAGGAUGUGGUCUCCCAGCUGACUUCAUAACUGAAUCAUCAGUAAUUAAUUUCAUUGUUCUAUUAGGACUUUACUGAAGACUCUAAGGAGGACCUGUAUCUGUUGGGAUCCUUAGGGCAAGCCACAGAAACAAGCUUUGGAUACUUGAAGCAGAAAAUGGAGUUAUUGAAGACUAUUGUGGAGUUUACUGUGAGACAGAGAGCCAGGCUGGGGAGCUGUACCACUUAGAAUGAGAUCCAAACUCACACCAUAGUUCCAUCCUUGAGGUCACCAUGUUGCUGCCACCCCUCCUGCCACACCGCCACUGAAGCUUUGGAUGCUGGAUUCUGGGCACAGCUGGGAGAAGUGUUGCUUAUUACCAUUUUAAUAUGUUUUCUUUCAAGACCUUUUCAAAAUAUACAUACGUAUUUUUAUUUCUAUUCAAAAUGGGAUACAUUUUUGAAGGUUAGCAAUAUAUUGUGAACAUUUUCUUUCCAUGCUCAGAAACAUUUUUCUAUAGUAUAAUUUAUAGUGAUAUAUAGUAAACUAUCGCAUAGACCUACCAUGGUUUACCUAACAAAUCCCAAAUCAUUU
rnacentral:lncRNA from 1 species